rnacentral:sRNA from 1 species
UGGCUAAGUCCGUUCGGCGG